UAGAGUGACCAACUGUCACAGUUUGCCUGGGAUUGAAGCAGUCCCUAGAACACAGGAUUUUAGUUUUAAAACCUGGGCAAACUAGGACAGUCGGUCAACCAGCUGGCUC
rnacentral:miRNA from 1 species